AAUGUCAGUGAUGCUUCAACCCAAAUAUAUUUUGAGUUUAACGACCAUGAGAAUACUUUACAUGCACUACCAUCUGAGACAUG